rnacentral:lncRNA from 7 species
UCUGCAGCAAAGUCUUGGGCCUGCCUGACUUUAUGAGGCAUGAACCCGUACCCUAUGUGCAGAGUGCUAUAGCAGUUCACCAACCUGAUGUCUUUGUGCUGGACUAAGUCUUCUUGGUAGCUGUAACUUGUCUAGAUCUGCACCAAAGCAAGGUCUCAAGUGCCUCUUCAAAUACAAGUCCAAAUGACAGGAGUCCAGGAGUUUGGGAGUUAUUAGAGAGCCAAAGUGCUUCCUGUGGGCCUCCUCCUUUGAAACAACAACUCUGCACCAGGAGCUUCUGCAGAAGGGGAAAAAUACUGCUUUGACUUUCAGGUAUGGUGUUCCUUGCCAUCGCAAUGCAAACCACCAAUUAUGGAAGCUGGCCAAGAAACAAGGGAGCUUAAAUGAAACAGCAGUCCCCAGGACUUCUCACAGGCAAUGGCAUGAGGGGAGAGGUGCAUGUUGGUUAUAGAAGCUGACCUGACUUUCCAUUGCCUGAUUAGUUUUCUUCUCAGCAUACACGUGUUAGAGCUGUUUGGGGUCAGUAUUCUCUGUGUCUCUGGGAUCAGCCUACUGCCUCAGAAAGCAAUUACUCCUUUCAUUUUGUUUUGGGAUCUCCCAGCUGCUGGCAGGAGAUGAAGUUCAGAGUGGCUGUGCAGGAUGACGGGGAGGUCUAGCCUACAGCUAGGUCCCAGGAACCUGGUGGCAGACCUGUCUGAUACUGGGCACAGAGCCCCUCCUGCAGUGGGCGCCUGCCGCAAGCUGCUCACAGCUAUGCACCGUGCUGCACAUUCUUAUGGAAACAGUUUUUGUAAUGGUCUCUGGAAAGGAAAAGCCCAUUUUGCAGCAGGGUGUUUUCUGCUGGAAAUGUUUGUAAAUAGUUCUUUGCUUGCAAAGUUUUAAUGCUGACUUGAUCCACGGCAGGGGAGUAUGCAAAAGCCCAGCAUGGGUGGAUUGACGGCUAUUAUUCCAGAAGCUGAAAUAUGAAUCUCAAAUGUUUGUCAGACGUUUUGCCCCAUUCUUGGUGAAGAUGUACAGUUUAAUCAAUAAAAAUGAAUAAUUUAAAU